UGAGUACGAGAUGCUACGGCAUCGAAGCAGUCUAUGUCAUACUUCCAAGAAAAGCUUGCACUGUCAUAAACAAAGAAUGCCUGUACCAUAACCGACACAGGUGGGUAGGUAGAGUAUACUAAGGGGCGCGAGAUAACUCUCUCUAAGGAACUCGGCAAAAUGACUCCGUAACUUCGGGAGAAGGAGUGCCUUAUUUCUAAGGUUGCAAUAACAAGAUCCAAGCAACUGUUUACCAAAAACACAGGUCUCCGCUAAGUCGUAAGACGAUGUAUGGGGGCUGACGCCUGCCCAGUGCCAGAAGGUUAAAGAAGUUGGUUAGCAUUAGCGAAGCUGAUAACUGAAGCCCUGGUGAACGGCGGCCGUAACGAUAACGGUCCUAAGGUAGCGAAAUUCCUUGUCGGGUAAGUUCCGACCCGCACGAAAGGCGUAAUGAUUUGGAUACUGUCUCGGAGAGGGGCUCGGUGAAAUAGACUUGUCUGCGAAGAUGCGGACUACCUGCACCUGGACAGAAAGACCCUAUGAAGCUUUACUGUAACUUGAGAUUGAAAUUGGACUUUAUUUGCGCAGUAUAGGUGGGAGGCGUUGAGAAUAAUCUUGCGGGAUUGUUGGAGCCAUCAGUGAGAUACCACUCUUGUAAUGUUAGAUUUCUAACUUUGUAUCAUUAUCUGGUCAAAGAACAGUUUCAGGCGGGCAGUUUGACUGGGGCGGUCGCCUCCCAAAGGGUAACGGAGGCGCACAAAGGUUUCCUCUGAACGGGUAGAAAUCGUAUCUAGAGUGUAAAGGCAUAAGGAAGCUUGACUGUGAGACCUACAAGUCGAGCAGGGACGAAAGUCGGUCUUAGUGAUCUGACGGUGCUGAGUGGAAAGGCCGUCACUCAACGGAUAAAAGUUACUCUAAGGAUAACAGGCUGAUCUCCCCCAAGAGUUCACAUCGACGGGGAGGUUUGGCACCUCGAUGUCGGCUCAUCGCAUCCUGGGGCGGUAGUCCGUCCCAAGGGUUGGGCUGUUCGCCCAUGAAAGCGGUACGCGAGCUGGGUUCAGAACGUCGUGAGACGGUUCGGUCCAUAUCCGGUGUAGGCGUUAGAAUAUUGAGAGGAGCCUUCUCUAGUACGAGAGGACCGAGAAGGACAUACCUCUGGUGUACCAGUUAUCGUGCCAACGGUAAACGCUGGGUAGCUAUGUACGGAGUGAAUGACCGCUGAAAGCAUCUAAGUGGGAAGCCCACCUCAAGAUAAGUAUUCUCAUC
rnacentral:rRNA from 1 species